CCGUGAGACAGGUGCUGCAUGGCUGUCGUCAGCUCGUGUUGUGAAAUGUUGGGUUAAGUCCCGCAACGAGCGCAACCCUUAUCCUUUGUUGCCAGCGGUCCGGCCGGGAACUCAAAGGAGACUGCCAGUGAUAAACUGGAGGAAGGUGGGGAUGACGUCAAGUCAUCAUGGCCCUUACGACCAGGGCUACACACGUGCUACAAUGGCGCAUACAAAGAGAAGCGACCUCGCGAGAGCAAGCGGACCUCAUAAAGUGCGUCGUAGUCCGGAUUGGAGUCUGCAACUCGACUCCAUGAAGUCGGAAUCGCUAGUAAUCGUGGAUCAGAAUGCCACGGUGAAUACGUUCCCGGGCCUUGUACACACCGCCCGUCACACCAUGGGAGUGGGUUGCAAAAGAAGUAGGUAGCUUAACCUUCGGGAGGGCGCUUACCACUUUGUGAUUCAUGACUGGGGUGAAGUCGUAACAAGGUAACCGUAGGGGAACCUGCGGUUGGAUCACCUCCUUA
rnacentral:rRNA from 1 species